GUGUGUGUGUGUGUGGCAGCGAUGGGGAGAUGAAGGCCCGCACCUGUCUUCAAAUAGGGAAAAAAGUUUACGGAACACACACACACACACACACACACACACACACACACACACACACACACACACACACACACACACACACACACACACACACACACACACACACACACACACACACACGUGGGGGUGGAGGAGGGUUCAGGAAGGUGAGGAGGAGUAGGAGUGCCAGACCCCCAUAAUUUUUGCGUUGAGAUGUGGUACAGGUAUUUGCCACUCCCACUCCCUCCUUUCCUCUCCCUCCUGCCCAGUUACUCCCUGUCUCCUCCUCCCCUCUUUCCCUCGCCCACCCACCCACCCGACCAAAGACACACCCACCCUUCGCUUUUUUCCCGAGCUCGUUCUCUCGCCCACUUUGAGGAAGGUGCGGAUAUAUAAGGGGUUGUGAAGGAGCUGCCGCAAUCAUUACUGUGUGCAGGAGAAUCGCGGCUGUGGCCACCUUGUACUUCGCUAUCUGCUAGUUUCGUUCAAGCAAGGAGGACUUUAUUACUCUCACAUAUGGCAGCCCUCGAGAACAAAAACCUUGUGUUCACCUACGUCAUCCUCAUCGGCUUCCUGAUCGUGCUCUACAUGGUCCUGGAGGGCAUCGUGUUCUAAGGAGCAUGACCCUAUGACCCAUGUUGUCCACCCUUCUCCCUCUGCCCCACCCACCCUCACCCCAGCAACCACAGUGAUUUAGCUCAAAGUUGCCACUCCAGCGUAUUCGAGACUCCUUCUCCCUUCCCACUGACCCAAGUGCUGGUUAUCGUUCUCCUCUCCGCCCCAAGACCCCCUUUCACUGGGAUUACACGACUUCCCCAAAGGGUUUUCCACCUACCCGUCUGUUUAUCCACGAGGAGAAAGUGUCCCCGACCAGCACUGCUUAGGCUCGUCGCUGUGUGAUCCUGACGGUGCUCCUGAGGCUGAAGCGGAAGUACAACAUCUGAAAGAAUUUUAACAAAUCUUCAGCUUUGAUUGUGUGCACUGCCAGCACUGUAAAAAUGGACGGCACUGAGAAGACGUCCCUCAUCUACACCUACGGCAUCCUGCUGGGCUUCCUGGUGGUGCUGUACCUAUUCUUGCAGGGAAGCUUUUUCUGAUCGGGCUUCACCACGCCACCACUGCCACUGAUGACCAUUCCCGCCUGAGUUCAAUUUGUGUGAGCUCACUGAAUCCACAACACCGCCAGGAUGGUGUCCAGUGAGCACAAGAGUCUCGGAUUCACCUUUCUCAUCUUGCUGGUGUUCCUCGUGGUGCUGUAUUUGGUGCUGGAUAGCGCCAUCUUCUGACACCCGCACCUUACCUGACAGACAACAUCUACAACUGUCACGUAAUUGAUCACGGCACCUGACCCUGUCACCUGGUCCACUUUCGGGCACCUCAACCCACACCAUGUCAGAAGACAAUAGAGUGAGCCUGUUCAAUAACUGUCUGGUGUUCGUGAUCCUUUUCGUUGCGUUAUACAUACCAUUUGUGACUUUCUACUCCUGAAAACAUCACAGCCACCGAGGAGACAGAUGCCUCCACCGUCAUGAAAGCACAAUCUGCCGCUGCCGGCUGAUGCUUGGCGAUGUCACAUCUGGUGAUCGCGGCGCCUCCACUCAUCCACCUGCUGUGCCUCGGGGCGCCAUGACGAAACCAAGCAUAAUACAGAAUACAAAAUACAGUACAUCCUGCUGAUGGUGGCGAGCACGUCUCGAGUUCAGAACGACCCCAAACACUCGUCGAAAAAAAAAAAAAAAUCUGAAUCAGGCCUGGAGUACCGCAGGGGCCCCAUUUUUUCCCCAGAAUACGCUGGAGACCCUUCCUCUCCCACCACUCCUACCUCCCCUCCUUUGUUGAUUACUUUUUCCUGCCCUUGCCAUUGCCUCCUUCCCAAUUCACGACCAAUCCUCCAAUCCAAGUUAUACAUAGUCAACAUACUCUCACACGCACACACACACGCACACAACAAGAGUGUGGAAGGAAGCACGACUGAGCCUUUAAGUUAAGAGCUGUUACCCGCCGGCUGGAUCGUCGUCGCCCGCAGACACCCGACGAGUGAUCUCAACCCUAUUCCUCACCCUUCACCAAGCCAGGCGCCAGGAGCCGAGGGGAACAGCCAGCCCGAGGAGGAGACCAUAAAGGAGUCAAGGAAGGAAGGAAACUUUAAGAGGAGGACGAAACUCAAGUUACGUCAAGAAAACGAAGGGAGGAAGAAAAGCAAGACAACUUAAAAAGAGACCUGCCUGAACCCCACGACAAGAAGACAUUUUUUUCUGUUCCGUCUGAGGCUUUCCCUCGUUGUCUGGCCCGCGAGAGCUGAGAAGCUUUAGCGGGUUUGUUUACGCCCGAGGAGAGUACGCAGGAAGCGGCCGACUUGCAGUAAUGGACCUGUACCUGGUGUCUCCCGUGUUCCUGAAGAGGCUGAUGACGCAGCGUCCUUCAGGCACCACGCUACUGAAGGACGGCCGCACUAUCGACGCGGCCCUACCCUCCUUCCCUUCAGAGGUGCAGAGGGACGACCAAGACGAUGAAGAGCUUCUUAAACUGUGGCAGAGAAGACGAAGAUCUAGUCUUGACCGUUUGCUGCGGCAACAUGCCUAUAUCAUCAUAUAUGUCACGCUGUGUUACGUUGGUGCAUUGGCUCGGCCCUGCAGUUGAGCGUCUGCUGUGCUGUGCUCGCCACCAUCCAACCUUCAGUCCCUCAAAACACAACAUUAAAAUAAAACACUACCCACUCCCUGCCAACAACAACACGUCACACCCCUACCUUCCUGACCACUCUACCGUCACUUACUAGUACAGUACGUAAAGUGUACGCAGUAGACCCUCUCCCUCUUUCACAACAGUCCACAUCUCUCUCCUCCCUCGGCACUUCAACACGCCAGACGAGGGGUCAGCACAGGAGACGCACCAACUUGCAUGGCAGCCACCCUCUCAUCUAGGGACGCGUGCAGCAGACUGGCAAGUUUUCACGGCCAUGUCUGCGGUGAAUGGUGUGCAGCAGUCAGCAGUCAGCCUGUAAAUAGCAGUGUCUUUGUAAUGCUCUUCUAGCACCAGCUGCCAGUUAGAAGUUUGUACAUAACAUGCGUUAGCUAAAAACCUACGGUAAUUCAUUGGAAGUCUGGCAAAACUAACUCCGCUUGAGAGUCACUGUUGGCCGGUGGGAGCAUCACUGCCAAUCGAUGCCUGGGUGGCCGCGGCUAGCAGUGACCGCUCGCACCUCUCAAGGGCGUCUCUCAACUGUAGUAGAUUAAGCUAGCACUCACACCCAUGAUAACGUCUAGUAGUUUUGUCGUGGUGAAUAUUUUUCAUAUAUAUUUUGUUUUUGAAAUGCUCAGAUAUCAUAGACAAGAACCACUAACCGUUGGCUUCAUUAAGACUGAAACAAAUGUCUUCCAAAGCACAUGAUUUUUUUUUCUUUUUUGCUUAGGGGAAAUAUUUCCACGAGAGUCUGGUAUUUGAUUUGCUCUCGUGGCCCCGCGUUGUGCACGCCGCCACCUCCACGCCUCGCACUGCGCACUUUGUUGUUGGUUCACACAAAGCGGCUUGUCCUUGAUGGCACAAUUUCUCUCCUGAGGAAAAAUAGUUUGUCGGUGCUGGUUCAAUCUUUACUUCUCCGUAUAGCCUUUUUUCUUCCUUUUUUCUUAUUUUCUUUUAGAACGAAGGAAUUUUUUUUUCUUUUAGAUCUGGACAAGAGUGCAUUAUUAUUAGUUGUACAUAAAUUGUUCCUCAGACGACCCCAGCGGUGUAGCAGAUCGCAUGAAUGGUUGUAGUUAAGGAUUCUUUUUUUAUAUAUAUCUUCAAGGAUUAUUUAACUACUCAAUAAACAUUAUAUUUU